AGAGUUUGAUCCGGCUCAGGAUGAACGCUGGCGGCGUGCCUAACACAUGCAAGUCGAACGGGGUUAUAACGCUGAGGAGACUUCGGUCAAAUCUUGUUGUAACCUAGUGGCGGACGGGUGAGUAACGCGUGGAUAACCUACCAUACACAGGGGGAUAACAGUUAGAAAUGACUGCUAAUACCGCAUAAGCGCCCGAGGGGGCAUCCUCUCGUGUGAAAAGCGAAUACGGUGUAUGAUGGGUCCGCGUCCGAUUAGCCAGUUGGCGGGGUAAGAGCCCACCAAAGCGACGAUCGGUAGCCGGCCUGAGAGGGUGAACGGCCACAUUGGGACUGAGAGACGGCCCAAACUCCUACGGGAGGCAGCAGUGGGGGAUAUUGCACAAUGGGGGGAACCCUGAUGCAGCGACGCCGCGUGAGUGAAGAAGUUAUUCGUAAUGUAAAGCUCUAUCAGCAGGGAAGAAUCAGACGGUACCUGACUAAGAAGCACCGGCUAAAUACGUGCCAGCAGCCGCGGUAAUACGUAUGGUGCAAGCGUUAUCCGGAUUUACUGGGUGUAAAGGGAGCGUAGACGGCAUAGCAAGCCAGAUGUGAAAUGUAUGGGCUUAACCCAUAGACUGCAUUUGGAACUGUUAAGCUAGAGUGUCGGAGAGGUAAGUGGAAUUCCUAGUGUAGCGGUGAAAUGCGUAGAUAUUAGGAGGAACACCGGUGGCGAAGGCGGCUUACUGGACGGCAACUGACGUUGAGGCUCGAAAGCGUGGGGAGCAAACAGGAUUAGAUACCCUGGUAGUCCACGCGGUAAACGAU
rnacentral:rRNA from 1 species